rnacentral:rRNA from 1 species
AUUGAACGCUGGCGGCAGGCUUAACACAUGCAAGUCGAGCGAGCGGCGGACGGGUGAGUAAUGUCUGGGAAACUGCCUGAUGGAGGGGGAUAACUACUGGAAACGGUAGCUAAUACCGCAUACCAUCAGAUGUGCCCAGAUGGGAUUAGCUAGUAGGUGGGGUAAUGGCUCACCUAGGCGACGAUCCCUAGCUGGUCUGAGAGGAUGACCAGCCACACUGGAACUGAGACACGGUCCAGGCGCCUACGGGAGGCAGCUGUGGGGAAUGUUGCACAAUGGGCGCAAGACUGAUUCAGCCAUGGCGCGUGUGUGAAGAAGGCCGUCGUGUUGUAAAGCACUUUCAGCGGGGAGGCGUUACUCGCAGAAGAAGCACCGGCUGACUCCGUGACAGCAGCCGCGGUAAUUC